rnacentral:rRNA from 1 species
UACGUAGGGGGCUAGCGUUGUCCGGAAUCAUUGGGCGUAAAGCGCGUGUAGGCGGUCCGGUAAGUCCGCUGUGAAAGUCGAGGGCUCAACCCUCGAAUGCCGGUGGAUACUGUCGGGCUAGAGUGCGGAAGAGGCGAGUGGAAUUCCUGGUGUAGCGGUGAAAUGCGCAGAUAUCAGGAGGAACACCUAUUGCGAAGGCAGCUCGCUGGGACGUUACUGACGCUGAGGAGCGAAAGCGUGGGGAGCAAACAGG